rnacentral:rRNA from 1 species
UGGGGAAUAUUGGACAAUGGGUGAAAGCCUGAUCCAGCCAUGCCGCGUGUGUGAAGAAGGUCUUCGGAUUGUAAAGCACUUUAAGUUGGGAGGAAGGGCAUUAACCUAAUACGUUAGUGUUUUGACGUUACCGACAGAAUAAGCACCGGCUAACUCUGUGCCAGCAGCCGCGGUAAUACAGAGGGUGCAAGCGUUAAUCGGAAUUACUGGGCGUAAAGCGCGCGUAGGUGGUUUGUUAAUUUGGAUGUGAAAUCCCCGGGCUCAACCUGGGAACUGCAUUCAAAACUGACUGACUAGAGUAUGGUAGAGGGUGGUGGAAUUUCCUGUGUAGCGGUGAAAUGCGUAGAUAUAGGAAGGAACACCAGUGGCGAAGGCGACCACCUGGACUAAUACUGACACUGAGGUGCGAAAGCGUGGGGAGCAAACA